rnacentral:rRNA from 1 species
AACGAACGCUGGCGGCAUGCCUAACACAUGCCAGUCGAACGAGACCUUCGGGUCUAGUGGCGCACGGGUGCGUAACGCGUGGGAACCUGCCCUUAGGUUCGGAAUAACUCCCCGAAAGGGGUGCUAAUACCGGAUAAUUUCUUCGGACCAAAGAUUUAUCGCCUUUGGUUGGGCCCGCGUUGGAUUAGCUUGUUGGUAGGGUAAAAGCCUACCAAGGCGAGGAUCCAUAGAUGGUCUGAGAGGAUGAUAAGCCACACUGGGACUGAGACACGGCCCAGACUCAUACGGGAGGAAGGAGUGGGGAAUAUUGGAAAAUGGGCGAAAGGAUGAUCCAGCAAUGACGGGUGAGUGAUGAAGGCCUUAGGGUUGUAAAGCUCUUUUAACCGGGAUGAUAAUGACAGUACCGGGAGAAUAAGCGCCGGCUAACUCCGUG